UAUAUUUUAGUGUAUGAUGCAUAUAGGAUUUUGAUUUCUAUGGUUUUAGUUUAAUUCUAAUAAAUAUAA
rnacentral:tRNA from 1 species